CCCUUAGACGUUCUGGGCCGCACGCGCGCUACACUGACCAGUGCAACAAGCAUCCGUCCUUGGCCGACAGGCCCGGGCAAUCUUUGAACGCUGGUCGUGAUGGGGAUAGACUUUUGCAAUUUUUGGUCUUCAACGAGGAAUUCCUAGUAAACGCAAGUCAUCAACUUGCAUUGAUUACGUCCCUGCCCUUUGUACACACCGCCCGUCGCUACUACCGAUUGAACGUUUUAGUGAGGUACUCGGACUGAGCCUCAGAAGAUUCACGUCUUUUGUGCUGCUCGGGAAGAUUCCCAAACUUGAGCGUUUAGAGGAAGUAAAAGUCGUAACA
rnacentral:rRNA from 1 species